rfam:Tobacco etch virus RNA, complete genome.
CGAAUCUCAAGCAAUCAAGCAUUCUACUUCUAUUGCA